GCCCGCCUAGCUCAAUCGGAUAGAGCGUCAGACUCUUAUUAUGGUCCUGGUUACAGAGUUCGCGGAUCUGAAGGCUGCGAGUUAGACCCUCGCGAUGGGCU